GACGAACGCUGGCGGCGUGCUUAACACAUGCAAGUCGAACGAGUGGCGAACGGGUGAGAAAUACGUGGGAACCUGCCCUCCUUUUGGGGGUAAGCCUUGGAAACGGGGUCUAAUACCGAAUUAAGGGGGAUGGGCUCGGGGCCUAUCAGCUGGUUGGUGGGGUGAUGGCCUACCAAGGCGGUGCCGGGUAGCCGGCCUGAGAGGGUGACCAGCCACACUGGAACUGAGACACGGUCCAGACUCCUACGGGAGGCAGCAGUGGGGAAUAUUGCACAAUGGGCGCAAGCCGGAUGCAGCCAUGCCGCGUGUAUGAAGAAGGCCUUCGGGUUGUAAAGUACUUUCAGCGAGGAGGCGUUACUCGCAGAAGAAGCACCGGCUAACUCCGUGCCAGCAGCCGCGGUAAUUC
rnacentral:rRNA from 1 species